rnacentral:rRNA from 1 species
ACGAACGCUGGCGGCGUGGAUAAGACAUGCAAGUCGAACGGGAGAAUUGCUAGCUUGCUAAUAAUUCUCUAGUGGCGCACGGGUGAGUAACACGUGAGUAACCUGCCUCUUAGUGGGGGAUAGCCCUGGGAAACCGGGAUUAAUACCGCAUACGAUUGAAAGAUCAAAGCAGCAAUGCGCUAGGAGAUGGGCUCGCGGCCUAUUAGUUAGUUGGUGAGGUAACGGCUCACCAAGGCGAUGACGGGUAGCCGGUCUGAGAGGAUGUCCGGCCACACUGGAACUGAGACACGGUCCAGACACCUACGGGUGGCAGCAGUCGAGAAUCAUUCACAAUGGGGGCAACCCUGAUGGUGCGACGCCGCGUGGGGGAAUGAAGGUCUUCGGAUUGUAAACCCCUGUCAUGUGGGAGCAGAUUAAAAAGAUAGUACCACAAGAGGAAGAGACGGCUAACUCUGUGCCAGCAGCCGCGGUAAUACAGAGGUCUCAAGCGUUGUUCGGAAUCACUGGGCGUAAAGCGUGCGUAGGCUGUUUCGUAAGUCGUGUGUGAAAGGCAGGGGCUCAACCCCUGGAUUGCACAUGAUACUGCGAGACUAGAGUAAUGGAGGGGGAACCGGAAUUCUCGGUGUAGCAGUGAAAUGCGUAGAUAUCGAGAGGAACACUCGUGGCGAAGGCGGGUUCCUGGACAUUAACUGACGCUGAGGCACGAAGGCCAGGGGAGCGAAAGGGAUUAGAUACCCCUGUAGUCCUGGCAGUAAACGGUGCACGCUUGGUGUGCGGGGAAUCGACCCCCUGCGUGCCGGAGCUAACGCGUUAAGCGUGCCGCCUGGGGAGUACGGUCGCAAGAUUAAAACUCAAAGAAAUUGACGGGGACCCGCACAAGCGGUGGAGUAUGUGGCUUAAUUCGAUGCAACGCGAAGAACCUUACCUGGGCUUGACAUGUAAUGAACAACAUGUGAAAGCAUGCGACUCUUCGGAGGCGUUACACAGGUGCUGCAUGGCCGUCGUCAGCUCGUGUCGUGAGAUGUUUGGUUAAGUCCAGCAACGAGCGCAACCCCUGUUGCCAGUUACCAGCACGUCAAGGUGGGGACUCUGGCGAGACUGCCCAGAUCAACUGGGAGGAAGGUGGGGACGACGUCAGGUCAGUAUGGCCCUUAUGCCCAGGGCUGCACACGUACUACAAUGCCCAGUACAGAGGGGGCCGAAGCCGCGAGGCGGAGGAAAUCCUGAAAACUGGGCCCAGUUCGGACUGUAGGCUGCAACCCGCCUACACGAAGCCGGAAUCGCUAGUAAUGGCGCAUCAGCUACGGCGCCGUGAAUACGUUCCCGGGUCUUGUACACACCGCCCGUCACAUCAUGGAAGCCGGUCGCACCCGAAGUAUCUGAAGCCAACCGCAAGGAGGCAGGGUCCUAAGGUGAGACUGGUAACUGGGAUG